UACGUAGGUGGCGAGCGUUGUCCGGAUUUAUUGGGCGUAAAGGGAACGCAGGCUGUCUUUUAAGUCUGAUGUGAAAGCCUUCGGCUUAACCGAAGUAGUGCAUUGGAAACUGGAAGACUUGAGUGCAGAAGAGGAGAGUGGAACUCCAUGUGUAGCGGUGAAAUGCGUAGAUAUAUGGAAGAACACCAGUGGCGAAAGCGGCUCUCUGGUCUGUAACUGACGCUGAGGUUCGAAAGCGUGGGUAGCAAACAGG
rnacentral:rRNA from 1 species